UUGUGGCAAGAAUGAUGAAACAAUUAGAUGAGUGAAUGGAGAUAUCCAUGAACUAAACUUUUGAGGCUUAUUGAUAUUCCGACUUUGCCACUC